GGUUGCAGUGAGCCAAGAUCACACCACUGCACUCCAGCCUGGGCAAUAGAGUGAGACUCAGAAAAAAAAAAAAAAGUUGAAAUCACAAAAUACAGAGACUUAGUAGUGGGCUGAAGGCACAAUGACACAGACACAGAGUGCAGAGAUGGAGCCACGUGAUUCUUCCCCACAGCCGUGCAAAAUGGGAUAGGGGUGGAAAAAGCAUGAAAUGGAAACAGUCAACAGUAAAACUUUGCACCAGCUAAAGAAAGAUGUGACUUCACAGUGAAAAGGUGUGGAGGGCCAGAGCAAGUCACACGCAGUUCCACGACUCACUAGCAGACGUUUAAGCCAAUAACAACAAAAACUCAUAUGGAUAAAAUGGUCUCAUAUGCAUAAAAUGGUCACACUUUCCUGAGAGAAAGGAAAGAUCUGAAUCAAGAAACACGUUGUGUUCCAGAGGGAAGGGUUUGGUACUGGAAAGAUGCUACUUCUCCCUACGCGAAGGCAUUCCAUACCGAACAGCAAAAUCUCACCAGGCAUUGCUCAUGGAAAUUGACAAGGUGGACAGGAAAUACUCAAGAACAGUCCCAGGUAAGGAAAAGGGAUUGGCCUCUGGAUGCAGGUCUGAUGAUGGAGCUUCCCGCCUGCAAGCAGCAGAGUGUCUGCAGAUCAGGAGAACGGAAGACAGGGUCUCCAAGCAGGUGGGAACCUGGGACAUGACAGUGAUUUCAAAUGGGGGAAGGAUUUGCCUCUUCAGAGAUAGACUCAGAGCUACUGGCUGUUGUUUUGAAGGAUGAAAAAAGCAACUUGUAUUUUUUUUUGAAGGAAAAUUUGUAUUAUUUUAAUUAUUUUUAUGUACGGAAAACUCAACAGUGUACAUAUAACCCAGUUUAGUGGCAAGUUCUUUAGCCUUUGCCUUUUUGCGUUUGGCAAUGUGAGCCACAGACUUGGGACCCAGGACAUUGCUGCCCCGGUGACGGCGGAUCUCAUCAUAUCUGUCAUUAUAAUCGGUCCUGAUAGCUGCUACCAGCUUAGCCAAAGCACCUUUGUCUUCCGAGUUCACCUGUGUGAAGGCGACAGUCGUACAGAUCUCCCUGUGGACUAGACGGCCCAGUCUUGCCUUCCCCUUGAUAAUGCAGUAAGGGACUCCCAUUUUACGACACAAGGCAGGCAGGAAGACAACUGGCUCAAUGGGCUCCACGUCGUGUGCAAUCAGCACCAGCUGAGCUUUCUUGUUCUCCACCGAGGUGGUGACACUGUUAACUCCUGCUCAAAGGACAGGUGGUCUCUUAGUGGGGACGUCCCCUUUGCUGGUAGCUUUCUUCUCGGCCCGGGCCAACAGCCUCUGCUUCUUCUCUUGCUUUGUCUCUGGUCUGUACUUGUGGGCCAGCCUAAGCAGCUGAGGAGCUAUUUGGUGGUCCGGGGCCUGGGUGAACUGGUUAAUGGCAGGAGGCACUUUCAGCUGCUUAUAGAGGAUGGCUCUCUGCCACUGCAACCUGAUAUAACGGGGCCAUUUCACAAAGCAGGUGAGGUCCCUUUUGGGCUGGAUGUCCUGUCCAAUACCAAAAUCCUUAGGCCUUUUCUCAAACGGGAUUCACCACUUUCUUGGCCUCCUGCUUCUUCACGACAGCAGGGGCUGGAGCCACCUUCUUCCCCUUAGCCUUCUUUCCUUUCAGCAUCUUGGGCAGUGGGAGGAGAGAGUGCAACUUGGAUUUCUAAAUUGUGCCACACAUAAAAAUAAAUCCCAGGCCAAUUCAAUAUUCAAACAGAAAAUAUAAGAGGCAGCCGGGCACAGUGGCUCAUGCCUGUAAUCUCAGCACUUUGGGAGGCCAAGGCAGGCGGAUCACGAGGUCAGGAGUUCAGGACCAGCCUGGCCAACAUGGUGAAACCCAUCUCUACUAAAAAUACAAAAAUUAGCCAGGCAUGGUGGCGGGCACCUGUAAUCCCAGCUACUCGGAGGCUAAGGCAGGAGAAUCGCUUGAACCCGGGAGGGGGAGGUUGCAGUGAGUGGAGACCACACCAUUGCUUUGGAGAGAAGUAGGAGAGAAGGCUUUAUAAUGUUGGGAUAGGAAAGGGCUUCAUAAGCAAGACCUUGAAUUUCAAGAGGAAUCUAUUCCUUUGUCCCCCUUAGAAAAUCAGAUUUUGACUGGUGCAGAAACCAAAUGAACCCACCAAGAUGAAUUAUCUGAAGAAGACUUCUCCAAGCCGCAGAAUUAACCAGGCCAGGUUAUAUAGUUAUUC
rnacentral:lncRNA from 1 species